rnacentral:misc_RNA from 1 species
AAUAAAAAAAAAAAAAAAAAAUGGAAGGAGUCAUUCCAUCGGUUACUGCAAAUUUGCACUAUCUGCAACACUUUGACCUUUCAAGAAAUAAUCUGAGUGGAACACUAUUUCAAAUGGUGGAUACUAACCAAUUUCAGAAUCUUGAUGAUCGCUUUUAGUCUUUGGAGCAAAGGCUACAAGAUCUUUCCAGAAAAAUUAAUGCAUGAGAACUUUGGGAUCAACCCUUAAAAGGUUAUGCAAAUGGAAAAUCUGAGGAGAAAAAGAAGAUGAUAAACAUGAACUUAAUGUUUCAGGCAAAGAAUUAGAACAUAGAACAAGUAUGGAACUUACUGAAUCUCAAUCUAGAGAUGAAGAUCCUGUAAUCCAAAUAGUUCCUGAAUCGACUUCUAAUGCUAAUGACAUUACAGGAAUACUGCCAAUUCCUGUGGUUAGAGAGAUGGAAGAGUAGCGAUAAAAACAUAUUUCAAAGGUCUCCAUGGAAUAAUUCCAUGAACCUUAAUGUUAUGAGAAGUUAAAUCUUGCAUAUAUUUGUCAAAUAUUGUAUUCCUAAUUAGAAACACAAUCAUAGGGAUUGCAUUCCUAUUUAGUUAGAGACAAAG